AUACGUAGGGUGCAAGCGUUAAUCGGAAUUACUGGGCGUAAAGGGUGCGCAGGCGGUUUUGUAAGGCAGAGGUGAAAUCCCCGGGCUCAACCUGGGAACUGCCUUUGUGACUGCAAGGCUGGAGUGCGGCAGAGGGGGAUGGAAUUCCGCGUGUAGCAGUGAAAUGCGUAGAUAUGCGGAGGAACACCGAUGGCGAAGGCAAUCCCCUGGGCCUGCACUGACGCUCAUGCACGAAAGCGUGGGGAGCAAACAGGAUUAGAUACCCUGGUAGUCCACGCCCUAAACGAUGUCAACUGGUUGUUGGGUCUUCAUUGACUCAGUAACGAAGCUAACGCGUGAAGUUGACCGCCUGGGGACUACGGCCGCAAGGCUAAA
rnacentral:rRNA from 1 species